CCCCCCACGCCAACGCGACGCGAGAAGAAAGGUUCCGGCCUCCGCGGGGCGACCCGGGCGACAGGAGAAAGGUUCCGGCCUCAGCCUCUUUCUCCUUCCGGCAAGCCUCGGAGGGCCCGGCCUCGGGGAGGGGUCGCCCUUGCGGGGUGGGGAGUGGGGGGAGGGGGGGGCGUGCGGACCCGGAAGCCAGCAGGCGGCCUCCCCCCGUGACCCGGCGCCGGGAGCGGCAGUGCGGGGCGCUGGAGGUGACCCCUGACCUCAAGGACUCCCGCGGGGCUGGACCGAGGCACGUGGGCGGCGACCACCUGCUGCACCAAGCGCUGGGGCGCACAGGUGUGCAGGGCCGGCCUGCAGCCUCCAGGUCUGCACCACCGAGGCAGCACCUUCCGCGGUGGUGGUGUGACAGUUGAAGAGGAUGCGCAACGAGAAUGCAUUAAAACGGUGCUGGUGGAAGCCGGGUAAGCAAGACAGAAAUGAACUUCCAGACACCAAGAUGCUCUCUGCCUUCCACUAUCCUUUUGCCACAAGUUGUACACGGAGUUUUCUGGGAGCCUGAGUUUUCCGGGAGCCCAGCGACUUGUGACAUUGCAAAUACGCCGAAUGCACAACAGCUGUCUUCCAUUAAGCCAGACUUUAAAGAGGUUUGCAAAAAAUGUAAAACCGUGCCAUUCGCACUAGGUUUGUUUCUGAGAUUUUUUUUUUCCCCCGCCACAAAAGGAUCUCAUUUAUGUUAAUAAGUAAUGGAAUUACUUUUGUUUUUUAAAUGAAUAUUUUAGGUUUGGGUCUUAAUUUCUGAUAUGGCGAAUAUCAAUAGAGGAAACCCAUAUAUACAAAGUUUGUUUAGGGUUCUCAACUAUUUUUAAGAGUGUAAAGGAGUUCUGAGACCAGUAGUAUGAUAAAUAGAUGUCAUAUGUACCUGAAAGGAGGAGGGAAAAUGUUAUUUAAAACCCAAACCGUAGUCACUUCAGCCUUCCUGUACAAGGAAAAUAAAUGUCCAUACAGCUUUCUUACACCCACGUAGUAAGAGAAAAUGAGAAAGAAAUUACUACUCUCUGCCAGUGAUUCUGUAUUGCAUAAAUGGCCCUUUGUUUUAUGGAGACAUUAAUGAAUCUUUGGCUAUGCAAAGGCAGGCCUGGGGCAGAGUGGAAGGAAAGAGAAUUAAAUCUCUCUGCAUAAUAAAGUGAACGGGAUUGAAUUAGGGGAAAGCUGGGGAAACCAGAAUCCUAGAGGGAGGCCAGGAAAGGAAAAAGUAGCUGCUUGGGAAAGGUUUUCCAGUGGGAGGGGGCUGAGCUAUACUAGACCUUCAGAGACCAGUAGUGCCUUGUAGGAGUCUUGUGUUGGGGGCAGUUGAUUUUGGGGGGUAAAAAGGUGGGGACAAAGGUCUAAGUUUUCUGUCUGCAUCUGCAAGAGCAAAGAAGACUACAGAUGACACCAAGUGAGCUCAAAACAUCAGGCACUAAAACCACAAGUGACUACAAGUGCAUAAAAUUACUAGAAAAGUCACAGAGAUCUUGAGGAGGCUUUCAGGCUUCCUACAGACCCCGGACAAUGAUAUUUCACUGGGGUUUUUUGGUUUUGGUGUUUGGGGGUUUUUGCUCUUUUAACCUCAAAGAGCAAAAUGACUUCAGGUUGAUAAUAGCUAUUUAAAACCCCAUAAACCUAAGAGGCACCGUGGCGAAGAAGGAGGAAGAACAGAAUGUCAUGGGAAUGAACUACAAACUGUCCAGUUUGAUGUAGUGCAUACAUUAUGUUUCAUAAGCAAUACUGUUACAUUCAUUAGGCCAGGUGCUUUUCUCUUUAAAAAGCAAAAAAAAAAAAAAAAAAAAAAAAAAAAAAUCAAAUAAGACAUAUGAGUCCCUGAAUGUAGCUCCCUAGAACAGCACAGUCCAUGCAAUCAGGAUAGAUGUAGACAUUUUAGAAUCAUGUGGGGACUCAUAGAAGUCAUUAAAUGCAGCCUCCAUCAAAUAGAGGAUAUAUUGCACAUCCAAAUGCUCAGCCCAUGACAGACAUGCUGUGUGUGAGAAAAAAAAUUCUGGUUGUUAGCCACUGAGAUUUUUGUCAUUGUUACAUCCUCUAGAGAGGUUGGUUUUAUAGCCCCACUAAGUGAGGAAAGAUGGUAAGUAGGCAUUUAUUUUAUGGAGCAUGAAUUCUUGCAGGACAGUGUAGGGAGACCAGAGUUUUUGGGUCCAUGGGAUCAUGGACCUGCCACAAUAAUAUAGUAACUGAAGACCCUCUGUGGAAGUUUUUUUUAUUAUUUGUCUCAUAUUCAUGGCCCCUCUCUAGGAAAGGAUAAUAGUUCCUUGACCUAUUGAUGACUAUUUUGGCCAGGUAAUUCUUCCCCAUGAAAAGUGACAUGUUACAAAUUUAGGAGAUAACGUGUGGUUCACUGUGCUCUCUUUUCCCUGUGCCAUGACAAUCCAUAGUGUUCCAGUGUUUCAUGAGGCUAGGUCCCUGAGUAAAGAUGACGUGGAGCACAGCCAAUCAAGGAUGUAUGCUGGCAUUAAGUCAGCCUUUGUUCUUACUGUCUAUGGAGAUUUGUGGCUUGUUACUGUAGCAAAUUAGCCUAUUCUGAUUGAUACAACCCAUCUCCAGAUAUCUGCCCAAACAAGUCUACUGAAUGCAUUCUUUCUUCACUUACCUUCAUUACAAUGUUGUCUCCCAGUGGGUAAAGUGUGGAGAGGAAGGACUAUUAGCUCACAUCUAGAUCUAAUCAAAAGUGUUAGAGUAACAGAGGCCCUGGAGGAUAGCCCCAGCCAUGGUUCUCCUGAAAGAGGAGAGGACUUGGAGAACAUAUAUUCAAAUUAGGAAGUGAACUUUAAAAGAAAUUUCUUGAAAAAAAUUUUUUCUCCUAGGCUUUAGAAAGGACCAUGACUGUAAGGAUGGGAAGCUCAAAGAAUAAACUUUUGUUCUUAAGAAGGAAUGUAGCUAAAAAAAAAAAUCAGGGUGAUGGAGAAGAUGGAACCCUUGUAUGGUGCUGUUGGGAAUGUAAAUUGGUGGAACCACUAUGGAAAACAGUAUGGAGGUUCCUCAAAAAAUUAAAAAUAGAACUACAAAAAAUAAAAAAAAAA